UACGUAGGGUGCGAGCGUUGUCCGGAAUUAUUGGGCGUAAAGAGCUCGUAGGCGGUUCGUCGCGUCGAAUGUGAAAACCCGGGGCUCAACUCCGGGCCUGCAUUCGAUACGGGCGGACUAGAGUUCGGUAGGGGAGACUGGAAUUCCUGGUGUAGCGGUGAAAUGCGCAGAUAUCAGGAGGAACACCCAUGGCGAAGGCAGCUUACUGGGCAUUAUCUGACGCUGAGACGCGAAAGCGUGGGUAGCAAACAGG
rnacentral:rRNA from 1 species